GUGGAUUAGAUACCCGGGUAGUCCUAGCAGUAAACGGUGCACGCUUGGUGUGAGGGGAAUCGACCCCCCUUGUGCCGGAGCUAACGCGUUAAGCGUGCCGCCUGGGAAGUACGGUCGCAAGACUAAAACUCAAAGAAAUUGACGGGGACCCGCACAAGCGGUGGAGUAUGUGGCUUAAUUCGAUGCAACGCGAAGAACCUUACCAAGGCUUGACAUGCAUCUCUAAACACGUGAAAGCGUGUGACCCUUCGGGGAAUUUGCACAGGUGCUGCACGGCCGUCGACAACU
rnacentral:rRNA from 1 species